rnacentral:lncRNA from 1 species
UUCAGGCGAAGGAAGCUGCUUGUCGAGUUAUGGGGGAGGCACACACGACGGAGAGGAUCUGAAUCGAGGUUAGUAGUAGUAUAACAUAAAGUGGAAAUAAAGGACAAAAUCCAUCGUCGUACUUUACAAAACCUCCAAACUGGCAAGUGGAUCCCAAGUGCGUGCAUCUGGUACUCCACCUUUAACAUCCGACUCCACGGAGAUUGCAGUUAAAGAAUUCAUGCAGAAAUCCAGGAUCCAUAUUAAAACUGACUGUGCUAUAUAAUAACCAUGCCUGAGAAUGUGAAAAAUAUAAACUGAAACGAGGAUGUAAAAAGGCAACUAGGGUAAUAUUUGCCGGUUGAUCAACAAUCUUAGACGUAAGAAUAUACAAGAAAAGUCAUACACACACACACACAUAUAUAUAUAUAAAUAUAUAUAUAUGCCGGCUCCAUGAAAAAGCAGCAGUUAUAUAAUAUUGCCCUUUUUUUUUUCAUGAAAUUGCCAAGAAGUUUAUGCAAAAACAGAGGCAUAUCACACAAGGAGGCAAUUAAUUGAUUGAGGACUUAAUACUAGUACAAGGGCUCCCUGAUCAUGUGGAUUCAACCGAUUUGGGAGAAAGAGAAGCGCUGUUGUGAUGGACAGGCAUGGACUUUGAUCUCUUGAAAUAGGCAGUAGAAUUGGAGCGAUGAAACCUGCACCUGAACGAUCCCUGAUGAGUCGUGGGCGAGCAGAGACACUGCUGCUGCCCUUUUGGAGACGAAGAAUUCUGGCCGUUGGCACUCUUGGGGGAUGUUGUGGUUUCCACCGUGAUGCCACCGCCAGCUGGGCCGCGGGGGUGGUGGGAGGAGGCCAUUUAAUUACUACCAGAGAGAGAGAGAGAAUGGAAGAAAACCAUAUGGCAAGAGAGUCUUGUUGUGGUGUAUAUGAUAUAAGAAGAGGAGAUCUGAUUCUCAAAUAUAAAAAAGGUUUAUCCCCUUUUGGUUUUGGGGGUGGGGGAAAAAAAAAAAUAGAAUACUAACAAAAAGGAAUUAUCUCCAUCAACAAGUGCUGUG